rnacentral:rRNA from 1 species
AUUCCAGCUCCAAUAGCGUAUAUUAAAGUUGUUGCAGUUAAAAAGCUCGUAGUUGGAUUUCUGGUUUGAUGCCCUGGCCCGCUUCAAAUUUUGGAGUGUGUGCCGGCUGUGCGUCUGCCAUCCUUCUAGAAAACGUUCGUACCCUUCACUGGGCCGCGUUCGAGAUCUAGAUCUUUUACUUUGAAAAAAUUAGAGUGUUUAAAGCAGGCAGUUGCUAUGAAUACAUUAGCAUGGAAUAAUAAUCUAGGACUUCGGUUCUAUUUUGUUGGUUUCUAGUACUGAAGUAAUGAUUGAUAGGGAUAGUUGGGGGCGUUUAUAUUCCGUUGUCAGAGGUGAAAUUCUUGGAUUUACGGAAGAUAAACUGCUGCGAAAGCAUUCGCCAAGGAUGUUUUCAUUA